GAAAAUGAAUGGAGUAAUUACUUAAAAAUUUUUUCAAUGUAAUUACUAAAAUUUAAGAAUUAAUUAAUAAAAUUAUGACAAUGUCCAAAAAUUUACAAAUGAGUGGAGAGAGCCUUCUGGCUCAAGGGCCAUGGCCCAAAUUACACAAUUUGUCAAUAUUCUACACUUGAUAAUGACAUGAAGGAAAUUUCUUAUCAACAUAAACACCAAAUAAAAAAAUGUAUACAUGAUUAUAAUGGUUUUAAC
rnacentral:misc_RNA from 1 species